GGGAAAGGGGGGAGGGCAUUCCUGGCAGAUGUACCAGAGCUGGACCGAGCAGGUCCUGUGUUAGGGACAGGAAAGAAAGGGCCCUGAAGGACAGGAGCAGUGGGCCGAGAGGCUCAGAGUUCCGCUCAGCAGCAUGGCCCACGGGCAGACUGCAGGGGAAAUCCUACUUUUCUCCUUCACCCAAUUCUGGCCCGAUGAGAGAGCAGAUUGCAAGGCCAGUAUGACACAGGGGUUAAGGGACAGACUUCGCAGCAAGACGGCCUGGGUCCACACGCUGCCCAUUCACCGUGUGACGUUGACAAGCUACCGAAGGACAAUACCUGUACCUACACCAGAGGUUGACAGGAGGACGACGGCAGGCAGGGAGAAUGCACGAAAUCAGACCCGAGAAAUUCUCUCUCUAAAGCAUCCUGGGAGACCUGCGGUCAGGGAAGAAGCCAUCACCAUGUGACUGCGUCUCUUUGUCUGCCAUUCUGCCGGAGGCUUGGUGCUUGCUAGGUCCCGCUCUGUCAUUUGGGCCAUCUCACCACGCCUCUGCAGCUCUCCCAUCGCCUGGCACCUGGGCAUGAGCAGGUGGAGCCCCUGGCAGCCGGGAGGAAAUUAUCUUACAAUUUUACUAUUAUUUCCUGGCUUCGCAAUCCUCUUACACAGCGUGGCCUCUAGAGUUAACAGCUGGCUGACCACCAAGAAGCCACAGUAAUUCAAAUCGCGUCCUCCCCGUUCACAUGGCUGCCCAUGGAAUGGUUCUGCAAGGAAGGAUACGGUUUUCUCGACCCUGGGAGGGUCCCUGGAUGGGUCUGAAAAUUAAACUGACAAGGACGGAUUCA